CCUACGGGCGGCAGCAGUGGGGAAUAUUGGACAAUGGGGGGAACCCUGAUCCAGCGACGCCGCGUGAGUGAAGAAGUAUUUCGGUACGUAAAGCUCUAUCAGCAGGGAAGAAAAUGACGGUACUUGACUAAGAAGCCCCGGCUAACUACGUGCCAGCAGCCGCGGUAAUACGUAGGGGGCAAGCGUUAUCCGGAUUUACUGGGGGUAAAGGGGGCGGAGGCGGUGUAGCAAGUCUGAGGUGAAAGGUCGGGGCCCAACCCCGAGACUGCAUUGGAAACUGGUGAACUGGAGUACAGGAGAGGUGAGCGGAAUUCCUAGUGUAGCGGUGAAAUGCGUAGAUAUUAGGAGGAACACCAGUGGCGAAGGCGGCUUACUGGACUGUAACUGACGUUGAGGCUCGAAAGCGUGGGGAGCAAACAGGAUUAGAUACCCUAGUAGUC
rnacentral:rRNA from 1 species